rnacentral:rRNA from 1 species
CCUACGGGUGGCAGCAGUGAGGAAUAUUGGUCAAUGGGCGCGAGCCUGAACCAGCCAAGUCGCGUGAGGGAAGACGGUCCUAUGGAUUGUAAAUCUCUUUUGUCGGGGAGCAAAAGACGCCAUGCGUGGCGUUCCGAGAGUACCCGAAGAAAAAGCAUCGGCUAACUCCGUGCCAGCUGCCGCGGUAAUACGGAGGAUGCGAGCGUUUUCCGGUUUUAUUGGUUUAAAAGGGUGCGCGGGAGGAAGAUCAAGUCAACGGUAAAAUUGAGAGGCUCAACCUCUUCGAGCCGUUGAAACUGGUUGUCUUGAGUGAGCGAGAAGUAUGCGGAAGGCGUGGUGUAGCGGUGAAAUGCAUAGAUAUCACGCAGAACACCGAUUGCGAAGGCAGCAUACCGGCGCUCAACUGACGCUCAUGCACGAAAGUGUGGGUAUCGAACAGGAUUAGAUACCCUAGUAGUC